rnacentral:misc_RNA from 1 species
UCCGAGUUGACCCCGGCAGUAUCCCAUGAGUUCCCACCAUUACGUGCUGGCAACAUAGGACGAGGGUUGCGCUCGUUGCCGGACUUAACCGAACAUCUCACGACACGAGCUGACGACAACCAUGCACCACCUGUAUAGAGACCUUGCGGGGCGACCAUCUCUGGCCGUUUCCUCUAUAUGUCAAGCCUUGGUAAGGUUCUUCGCGUUGCAUCGAAUUAAUCCGCAUGCUCCGCCGCUUGUGCGGGCCCCCGUCAAUUCCUUUGAGUUUUAGCCUUGCGGCCGUACUCCCCAGGCGGGGAACUUAAUGCGUUAGCUGCGACACAGAAACCGUGGAAUGGUCCCUACAUCUAGUUCCCAACGUUUACGGCAUGGACUAC